rnacentral:rRNA from 1 species
GACGAACGCUGGCGGCGUGCUUAACACAUGCAAGUCGAGCGGUGAACCGGGCUUCGGCCCGGGGAUCAGCGGCGAACGGGUGCGUAACACGUGGGCAACCUGCCCCUCACUCUGGGAUAACCCCGGGAAACCGGAGCUAAUACCGGAUACUCUCGCGGAGCCACAAUGCCCUUCGAGGAAAGGUCCGCCGGUGAGGGAUGGGCCCGCGGCCUAUCAGCCUGUUGGUAGGGUCAUGGCCCACCCAAGCGACGACGGGUAGCUGGUCUGAGAGGACGACCAGCCACACUGGGACUGCGAUACGGCCCAGACUCCUACGGGAGGCAGCAGUGGGGAAUCUUGCGCAAUGGGCGAAAGCCUGACGCAGCGACGCCGCGUGGGGGAUGAAGGCCCUCGGGUCGUAAACCCCUUUCGGCAGGGACGAAGCGAUCGUGACGGUACCUGCAGAAGAAGCCCCGGCUAACUACGUGCCAGCAGCCGCGGUAAGAC